GACGAACGCUGGCGGCGUGCUUAACACAUGCAAGUCGAACGAGAACGGGAUAUAGCUUGCUAUAUUUGUCAGCUAAGUGGCGCACGGGUGAGUAAUGUAUAGAUAACCUGCCCUCUAGAAAGGAAUAACAGUUGGAAACGACUGCUAAUGCCCUAUAUGCCUUUAAUACAUAAGUAUGCAAGGGAAACGCUUUAGUGCUAGAGGAUGGGUCUGUAUGGUAUCAGCUUGUUGGUGAGGUAAUGGCUCACCAAGGCUAUGACGCCUAACUGGUUUGAGAGGAUGAUCAGUCACACUGGAACUGAGACACGGUCCAGACUCCUACGGGAGGCAGCAGUGGGGAAUAUUGCACAAUGGACGAAAGUCUGAUGCAGCAACGCCGCGUGGAGGAUGACACAUUUCGGUGCGUAAACUCCUUUUAUAUAGGAAGAUAAUGACGGUACUAUAUGAAUAAGCACCGGCUAACUCCGUGCCAGCAGCCGCAGUAAAAC
rnacentral:rRNA from 1 species